UUAAGUUAUUAAGGGCGCACGGUGGAUGCCUUGGCACUAGAAGCCGAUGAAGGACGUUACUAACGACGAUAUGCUUUGGGUAGCUGUAAGUAAGCGUUGAUCCAGAGAUUUCCGAAUGGGGGAACCCAGCAUGAGUUAUGUCAUGUUAUCGACAUGUGAAUUCAUAGCAUGUCAGAAGGCAGACCCGGAGAACUGAAACAUCUUAGUACCCGGAGGAAGAGAAAGAAAAAUCGAUUCCCUGAGUAGCGGCGAGCGAAACGGGAAGAGCCCAAACCAACAAGCUUGCUUGUUGGGGUUGUAGGACACUCUAUACGGAGUUACAAAAGAACAUGUUAGACGAAUCAUCUGGAAAGAUGAAUCAAAGAAGGUAAUAAUCCUGUAGUCGAAAACAUAUUCUCUCUUGAGUGGAUCCUGAGUACGACGGAGCACGUGAAAUUCCGUCGGAAUCUGGGAGGACCAUCUCCUAAGGCUAAAUACUCUCUAGUGACCGAUAGUGAACCAGUACCGUGAGGGAAAGGUGAAAAGUACCCCGGAAGGGGAGUGAAAGAGAACUUGAAACCGUGUGCUUACAAGUAGUCAGAGCCCGUUAAUGGGUGAUGGCGUGCCUUUUGUAGAAUGAACCGGCGAGUUACGAUCUGAUGCAAGGUUAAGCAGCAAAUGUGGAGCCGCAGCGAAAGCGAGUCUGAAUAGGGCGUUGAGUAUUUGGUCGUAGACCCGAAACCAGGUGAUCUACCCUUGGUCAGGUUGAAGUUCAGGUAACACUGAAUGGAGGACCGAACCGACUUACGUUGAAAAGUGAGCGGAUGAACUGAGGGUAGCGGAGAAAUUCCAAUCGAACUUGGAGAUAGCUGGUUCUCUCCGAAAUAGCUUUAGGGCUAGCCUCAAGUGAUGAUUAUUGGAGGUAGAGCACUGUUUGGACGAGGGGCCCCUCUCGGGUUACCGAAUUCAGACAAACUCCGAAUGCCAAUUAAUUUAACUUGGGAGUCAGAACAUGGGUGAUAAGGUCCGUGUUCGAAAGGGAAACAGCCCAGACCACCAGCUAAGGUCCCAAAAUAUAUGUUAAGUGGAAAAGGAUGUGGCGUUGCCCAGACAACUAGGAUGUUGGCUUAGAAGCAGCCAUCAUUUAAAGAGUGCGUAAUAGCUCACUAGUCGAGUGACACUGCGCCGAAAAUGUACCGGGGCUAAACAUAUUACCGAAGCUGUGGAUUGUCCUUUGGACAAUGGUAGGAGAGCGUUCUAAGGGCGUCGAAGCAUGAUCGCAAGGACAUGUGGAGCGCUUAGAAGUGAGAAUGCCGGUGUGAGUAGCGAAAGACGGGUGAGAAUCCCGUCCACCGAUUGACUAAGGUUUCCAGAGGAAGGCUCGUCCGCUCUGGGUUAGUCGGGUCCUAAGCUGAGGCCGACAGGCGUAGGCGAUGGAUAACAGGUUGAUAUUCCUGUACCACCUAGUAUCGUUUUAAUCGAUGGGGGGACGCAGUAGGAUAGGCGAAGCGUGCUGUUGGAGUGCACGUCCAAGCAGUAAGGCUGAGUGUUAGGCAAAUCCGGCACUCAUAAGGCUGAGCUGUGAUGGGGAGAGGAAAUUGUUUCCUCGAGUCGUUGAUUUCACACUGCCGAGAAAAGCCUCUAGAUAGAUAACAGGUGCCCGUACCGCAAACCGACACAGGUAGUCAAGAUGAGAAUUCUAAGGUGAGCGAGCGAACUCUCGUUAAGGAACUCGGCAAAAUGACCCCGUAACUUCGGGAGAAGGGGUGCUCUUUAGGGUUCACGCCCAGAAGAGCCGCAGUGAAUAGGCCCAAGCGACUGUUUAUCAAAAACACAGGUCUCUGCUAAACCGUAAGGUGAUGUAUAGGGGCUGACGCCUGCCCGGUGCUGGAAGGUUAAGAGGAGUGGUUAGCUUCUGCGAAGCUACGAAUCGAAGCCCCAGUAAACGGCGGCCGUAACUAUAACGGUCCUAAGGUAGCGAAAUUCCUUGUCGGGUAAGUUCCGACC
rnacentral:rRNA from 1 species